rnacentral:rRNA from 1 species
CGGGACUGGUGAGUAACGCGUGAGGAACCUGCCUUUCGGAGGGGGACAACAGUUGGAAACGACUGCUAAUACCGCAUGACGUAUCGGGAUCGCAUGGUCUUGAUACCAAAGAUUUUAUCGCCGAAAGAUGGCCUCGCGUCUGAUUAGCUAGUUGGUGGGGCAACGGCCUACCAAGGCGACGAUCAGUAGCCGGACUGAGAGGUUGGCCGGCCACAUUGGGACUGAGAUACGGCCCAGACUCCUACGGGAGGCAGCAG